CCUACGGGAGGCAGCAGUGAGGAAUAUUGGUCAAUGGGCGAGAGCCUGAACCAGCCAAGUCGCGUGAAGGAUGACGGCCCUACGGGUUGUAAACUUCUUUUGUCAGGGAGCAAUUGGGUCCACGCGUGGGCUUAGCGAGAGUACCUGAAGAAAAAGCAUCGGCUAACUCCGUGCCAGCAGCCGCGGUAAUACGUAGGGUGCGAGCGUUAAUCGGAAUUACUGGGCGUAAAGGGUGUGCAGGCGGCUGAGUAAGACAGAUGUGAAAUCCCCGGGCUUAACCUGGGAACCGCAUAUGUGACUGCUUGGCUAGAGUGCGUCAGAGGGAGGUGGAAUUCCACGUGUAGCAGUGAAAUGCGUAGAUAUGUGGAAGAACACCGAUGGCGAAGGCAGCCUCCUGGGACGCAACUGACGCUCAUACACGAAAGCGUGGGGAGCAAACAGGAUUAGAUACCCCUGUAGUC
rnacentral:rRNA from 1 species